UACGUAGGGUGCAAGCGUUGUCCGGAAUUAUUGGGCGUAAAGAGCUUGUAGGCGGUUUGGUCGCGUCUGCUGUGAAAUUUCGGGGCUCAACCCCGAACUUGCAGUGGGUACGGGCAGACUAGAGUGUGGUAGGGGAGACUGGAAUUCCCGGUGUAGCGGUGAAAUGCGCAGAUAUCGGGAGGAACACCGGUGGCGAAGGCGGUUCUCUGG
rnacentral:rRNA from 1 species